GAUGAACGCUGGCGGCGUGCCUAAUACAUGCAAGUCGAGCGAACAGAUGAGGAGCUUGCUCCUCUGACGUUAGCGGCGGACGGGUGAGUAACACGUGGAUAACCUACCUAUAAGACUGGGAUAACUUCGGGAAACCGGAGCUAAUAACGGAUAAUAUAUUGAACCGCAUGGUUCAAUAGUGAAAGACGGUUUUGCUGUAUCUUAUAGAUGGAUCCGCGCCGCAUUAGCUAGUUGGUAAGGUAACGGCUUACCAAGGCAACGAUGCGUAGCCGACCUGAGAGGGUGAUCGGCCACAUUGGAACUGAGACACGGUCCGGACUCCUACGGGAGGCAGCAGUAGGGAAUCUUCCGCAAUGGGCGAAAGCCUGACGGGGCAACGCCGCGUGAGUGAUGAAGUUCUUCGGAUCGUAAAACUCUGUUAUUAGGGAAGAACAAAUGUGUAAGUAACUAUGCACGUCUUGACGGUACCUAAUCAGAAAGCCACGGCUAACUACGUG
rnacentral:rRNA from 1 species